rnacentral:tRNA from 1 species
UCCUUAAUAGCUCAAGUGGUAGAGCAAUUGGCUGUUAACUAAUCGGUUGUAGGUUCGAGUCCUACUUAAGGAG